rnacentral:lncRNA from 1 species
GAAAAUAGCUCUUAAGUGUGUCGUAGCUGAUGUUAGGUUUCUGGAUUCAGCACUUUGUGCAGACCUUCUUCUUCUUUUUUUUUUUUUACUAAAAGUAUCAUAACGUUAGCACGAAGAACAGAGAGAACAUAAAAAACCCUUCAGUACCAUGAAUUAAUGAAUAAAACCAGGGCCGUAAAACACGCCCGGCCCGAUAAUUAGAAAUGGCCAAAUUGUCCCCUAGGAUUUUAAAUUCUUACUCUGCAUUCAGCUGUUGUAAGGGUGUCAAAAAAGUUUCAAAUGCAUAUUUUAGGUUUUCCUCAUCAAAAUUUAAUUUAUCGCUCGUCAUUGUUAAAACGAUUGAGAUGCCAAUCAAAGCGCACAGCAGCCAAUCCAAGGCUUUAGAUUAGUCACGCUUGUUAAGUUCAUGUGCUCGUGACUGAAUUCACCGCGUUGACGAAGUCUCUCGUCUAAACAACAAAUAGUGUUUUAGCGACGUAAGUACUAAAUUUCGCUGCUUCAGUAAUUGUAAGUUGAGUUUUUGCAUUUCUUUUGCUAGAUUAUCAUGGACCGACAUUAUGUCUGUGUAGGCAGCUAAUAACGUUACGUUUCUCCAAGCACUUGUAUGUGUAAGUUAAGGUUAUGCUGUUACUUGCGAUUAAUAUAGCAAGAGGAAUAAUCGACAAUAAUGAUUUUUAUCGUAAAUAAACUGGCACCCUGACCCUAUAAUAAAUACUUUUUUUCUUUGUAACAUUUAAAUCUUUUUUUCUUUGCUGAAUCGCCCAUAAACAAGACCUCUGUAAUUUAUGUCUUCAGAUAAAUGCUUAAUUUCAUCGGAUCACAACCCUUCCUUUACAGACCAAAACUCCUGGCCAAACUGGAUUGGUUGUCUGAUGAUCUGAUAAAAGUGUUUACCAAAAAGAAUGGAGUGUUUAGAAAAAAGAUUCAAGAUUUGAUUGUGCCAAUGUCUCAGAACAAGCAAGAGUGCAUUCUCAAGGGAGUAUGCAUCUACCUGAACGAAGAUGAAGGUGAUGGGGUAUUUGGUAAGUACAGAGUUCUCUUUCAUUACAAACAGUUAUCACAAAUAAAAACAAAUUUGACCUUGCAAAAGAUGUGA